CACAUCUCGUACGGAGCACCGGGCCGAGGCACACUGCACAGCCUCGCAGCCGAAGCCGGGGCAGCGAACCCACACCAUCGGCGCGCUGUCCGCCAUUUCAACUAACUCCGGGACCUCCGGGUCCCGUGGACAAGGAUAUGAUUAGUGCAGACUGAGAGGUUCUCAGCGGGGGAGAUCACCAUGGAUGCUGGUAGUCCAGGAGAGCUUCAUGGAGGAGGAGGAUUUGGACCAGACCUUGUCUUGGAUACUCAGUGUGUGAGUGUGUGUGUGUGUGUAAGUGCACACAUGCAUUCCAGCAGCAGAUGAGAACGUGGACAAAGCCAACAACCUCUUGGAGUGCAGGCGUCAAACCCCAAGCCCACGCGUGAUCGGCGCACAGGGAAGAGCAACUGCAGUUCCGAAGAACCCUCGGCCUCAGAAACACCCCGUGCUCCAUCUCCAUUGGCAUCUCUGGUCCCUGGGAGCCGCUCCCAAGGAUACUGCUCCACCCACCCCUGGGUGACUUACUUAAAACCUUGUGAAACCAGCUUGAAAGGACCAGAAGGCCUCAAGGCAGGUGGAGCAGGCAGUGGAAUUCCCGAGCGGCUGCCCCACCCACCGACGGGGUCUGCAAGCCCAGCCGCCAGACCGGGGACCCAUACCCAGCUCUGGAGGCCGGUGGGCAGCGCCGCUCUCUCAGCUGCGCAGCGGGGAGAAGAGACGGGGUUUCCAGUCGUGCCAGCGUCUGGGGGACACGUCCCUGCAGGUCCGACGGCGCUGCCAUAGACCUCCCCACUCGGGACGGGGUCUCACCAGCUCCACUGGAAGCUUUGGGGCUCCGUGUGCGGCUGAAAGUGCAAAGCGCUCUCCCGCCAGCUGGGAGCGCCCGCACGUGGGAGGGACACGGAGCCCGGGCGUGGGAGCGACACGGGGCCGCGCCCACCCUGACACAGUGAGUAACCACGGGAGCCACUCCCAAACACCCAACCAUCCUGGUGGUGGGCCGGCGCCCACCCGAGCCGCUGGGUGGUCAAAACCAAGCCAGCUAUCGCUGUGGCCAGCCCCCAGCAGCCUCCAGAUGCCGGCGGAGGCCACCUGAAUGUAAUCUGCGUGUCAUAUGUCCCAGCCUGGCCCCCCCGGCCCAGCCCCCUGGCCACAGCUUUGACUCUUUCCAGUUCAGAUAACAGGGUCCAGUCGUGUCCGAGACCCAGCGUUCAGUGCUGCCAGUGAGUUCUCUGUACACCUCCUGAAAUGGGAUUUUUCUCCUAGUGUUAGGGAGAAGAAAUUAAUACUUGGGUGACAUACCGCCGGCAAGAGACCGGCCAGGAGAGGAACCCAUGUCCAUCUGACUCCAAAGGUCACACUCUUCCCACUUCCUCAUUUACCACCCCCCAAAAAAGUAUAUGUUAUAAACAAACCCUGCUCUAUGUCCCCACCUCGGAAUGGGUCCCAAGUGGGUCCCAAGUUCCUCUGUGACAGAGCUCACUGGGCCUGAUCUGUUCCAGGGAAACGUGUCAAGUGUCUUGACAACAUGAGGCUGUAAGAUCCCUUGCCUCCUGGGACUCAAUAACUUCAUCCCUGUCCCAAAAUGCUGAGUCAACAACGUUCUUUGGACCCUUUGUCUUGGCAAGGUACAAUUCCCAGUCCCGAGUCAAUGGAUCGGCUGGCGUUGCCACCGGGAAGAGAGUGGCCUCCCUUUCAUGCCCUCCCCCUGUAUCUGGAAGCAGUUAGCCUGAAGCUUCUUUAACCGUGUCAUCUCCUCUGUAACAGACUGAAGGAGAGGGCAGAGGAAAUGUCCCAGAGAAGGUCUCUGGCCUUUGGGCACCCUUGUUAAUCCAGGGUCCCACUGAGCCCGUACCCCAAAGCCUCUGGCAGUGGGCCCGCACAGACUGAAAACUCCCUCUGGGUCCCUCCUGAGCCCACUGCCUAAGAACCAAGAUAGUCUUGGCCUGCAUGAAAUCAAAGUGGUUUACAUAAAAACGAGCGACACUGGCUUUGGACCCUGUAGGGCUAGAAGUCCCAACUUCAUCCAGAGUAGAAAGGUAGCUCUUACUCACUCAGCCAACAAAGGUACAUCGAGAGCUUCUUGGGAGUCGAGCAGCAUGGCAGAUUUGUCGAUUCAACGGUGAAAAACCAGCUCCGUUCUCGUGGGGUUUACAAUCAAGCGGGAGAGAGAAACAUUCAGCAAAUAGGAAUACAAAUAGAUGUGAAAUCACAAUUUGAUGAUAAUAGAAUCGUUCACGUAAUCUAAAAACCAAUGGGAACAUAACCACUCAUUUUUAAAAACACGCGUUGUAUAAUAAAAGCAUAAAAAUAUGAAUGGGGGCACCUGGGUGGCUCAGUCGGUUGGGCAUCCGACUCUUGAUUUCAGCUCAGGUCAUGAUCUCAAGGUCAUGGGAUAGAGCCCAAGUCCAGCUCCACACUCAGCAGAGAGUCUGCUUGAAGAUUCUCUCCCUCUCCCUCUGCUCCUCCUAAGGAGCAGAGCCUGCAGGAGUUGGGAGGGCCUCGGGGGUCGGCUGAUCUCGAGUGACCCAGGGAGGAGACUAUUUCAGAAAUCCAGAGACACAGGGGCUUGGCUGGGGCAGUCAGUGGGGGAUGCGGAGUGAAACGCACAGACUCAACAGAAAUUGCGGAGGUCACAUGGCAGGGCCUGGUGGUGGACCGAAUGCGGGUCUGAGGCCUUCCUGUUCAGCUGGCACAACCCGGCAGGUCAUGGGAACUGAAGUAAGCCUGCCUUCCGCAAGCAGACUCGUGGGCUGGGCUGGGUUUGGGACUUACUGAUUUCGAGGCACCUGUUCAGGUGCAAGGAAAACUGGGGUACAAGUAAGAAGGAAGGGCCCCCCCCCAAAGCUACUGGACGCUGCGACUGUUUUACUGAUUGUCGGAGAACCAAAACCCACAGCCCCAUCUGGGCCCUUCCUGCGUGACAUGGCCACGUGGCCGCGCUCACGAUCAGUGGCUGAGGGCAAAAACCUGCUUAAUCUUAUUACACUGUGAGGAUGUGUGUCCCCUGUGUACACCUGGGCAGCGUAACUGGUCCCAGCUGAGCUACGUUUGACUAACCUACUGAGGGUCCUGUCUGGUUUUUCGUCUUCCUCCUCUCCGCCACCAGGCCCGUGAGGCUCCCUCUCUACUCCUUGCGGAUCUCAGGGCCCUUUCAGCCAGACGCUGCUAUGGUCUGAAUGUCUGUGUCCCCUCCCCAGUCCCCAGAUUCUUCUGUUACAAACCUAACGCCCAGGGUGGUGGCAUAAGGAGGUGGGGCUGUGGGCGGUCGUCAGGUUCCGAGGGUGGAGCCCUCGCGAAUGGCAGUAGUGCCCCAAUAAAAGAGGCUCCAGGGGGCCUCUCACCCUUCCACCUGGUGAGGAUUCAACAAGAGCGCCUGGCCAUUCACAGCCUGGAACAGGGCCUCCGUCACACACCAAGCCGGACAGCAGCCCUGACCUUGGACUUCCGGUCUCCAGAGUGGGAGACGUGGACCUUUGUGUCCGUGGCUUUCGGUCAGAGCUGCCCGAGCUGCUCAGACUCCAGGCACACCCUGCCUUCAGCCUGGACCCAUGCUGUCCUGGGUUGGGUUGCCCCAGAAUCAGACCCCGAGGCAAGCUUACUUAGGAUGCGAUCCCAGGGAGGCUGGGAGCAGGGCAGAGAGGCAGGGAAGGGAAGGAAGCCAAGAAAAGGAACAUUGUUUUCCAAAAUUGCUGCCGUGGCAACUGCCUUUGGGGUCCAGCCCUGCUGGGGACCCUGGGAGACCGCACAGGAAUUGUCCUUGCCCACGGGGGUGAGGAAGUGGGGGCACCUCCGUGUCCCGUCCCUCCACGAGUCCAGGGUGUCCAGUCCCCCAGGCAAGUCCGUCCCAUGGAAGAAGAGCUCCCAGGUGGAGAACUGCACUCUUGCAGCGGACGGCCUUGAGAAUGUCCUGGAAUGGACAUCCAGCUGAGUGAUGAGGGCGUGCGGAUCCCACAAGAACUGUCACACUCCCGUGGCAAACAGACUCUAAGAUGGUCCGCAGACUCCCCACGUCCCAGGACCCACACCCUUAUAUAAUCCUAUACAAUCCCCCUUGCCCUGAGUGCGGGGGGAACCUGCAACCGCCAAUAGCCCCUGGAACAUGGCAAAGGCGAUUAGGUGGUAUUACUCAGGCUCCCAUUCCCGCUGCCUUUCUUUCUCCCAUGCUGGCUUUGCGGAAACAAGCUGCCAUAUUGCAAGGGGGUCCGCGGACAGACCCAGGUGGCAAGGAAGCCAGGUGGCCAGCAGCUUGUUGGGAACGAGCGUGGCCUCCGCCCUACAGUCAGCAGAGAGUGGGCCCCAGUCUCACAGCAGUAAGGAACUGAGUCCCGCCAACAGGUGAGCCCGAAAGCAGAUGCACUGCCUGUCAAGCCUCCGGAGGGAACGGAGCUGCGCGGACACUGGGAUGACCACUGGACGCAGGCGUGACUGCGCCCGCCCAGAUCCUGCCCCACAGGGUGUGCGGUAAGGGGCCGGUGUUGCUCUAAGGCUCGGAGUCUGUGGUCCCCACGGAAACCAGACGUGCUCCCUUACCCCUGAGCCUCCCACCCGAGCGAGGCAGCUUGGCCCCCUCCUCUUGUGGCCUUGACUGCAGAUCCACGGACCAGUAAUUGUGUUCAUUGAAAUAAAUGUAUUGCUUUUACCUAUUAUCCUAUGUUAAUUAAUUAAAUUUAAAUAAAAUAAA